AGGAUGAACGCUGGCGGUCUGCUUAACACAUGCAAGUCGAACGGAGUAGCAAUACUUAGUGGCGGACGGGUGAGUAACGCGUGAGAAUCUACCUUCAGGACGGAGACAACAGUUGGAAACGACUGCUAACCCCCGAUGUACCGCAAGGGCAAAUAUUUAUAGCCUGAAGAAGAGCUCGCGUCCGAUUAGCUAGUUGGAGAGGUAAAAGCUCACCAAGGCGACGAUCGGUAGCUGGUCUGAGAGGACGAUCAGCCACACUGGGACUGAGACACGGCCCAGACUCCUACGGGAGGCAGCAGUGGGAAUUUUCCGCAAUGGGCGAAAGCCUGACGGAGCAAGACCGCGUGGGGGAAGAAGGCUCUUGGGUUGUAAACCCCCUUUUCUCUUGGGAAGAACACAAUGACGGUACCAGAGGAAUCAGCAUCGGCUAACUCCGCGCCAGCGGCCGC
rnacentral:rRNA from 1 species